rnacentral:snRNA from 1 species
GGUCAGCCACGUGCAAGGCAAACGCCGUACCCGCUGCGUCGCCCCCAAAGCUGCGUGCUCGGUCAAAGAGGACGGCCUUUCCCGAAUAGAGACGGACCGGUCUUUGGUCGAGGGUAUACGAGUAGCUUCGCUCCCCUGCUCGUACCUCCAAACAAGCUCUCAAAACGAAAAGAUAAAAAAAAAAAACAAAAAAAUAACCCUUUAAAGAAAGCAUUAUCUGGUGAUUACUU